AACGAACGCUGGCGGCGUGCCUAGCACAUGCAAGUCGUGCGAGAAAGUUCCUUCGGGAGCGAGUAAAGCGGCGCACGGGUGAGUAACACGUAGGUAACCUGCCCCCCCAGUCUGGAACAACUAGAGGAAACUCUAGCUAAUGCCGGAUGAGACCACGAUCCCUUCGGGGGUUGCGGCCAAAGAUGGCCUCUACUUGUAAGCUAUCGCUGAGGGAUGGGCCUGCGGGCCAUUAGCUUGUUGGUGAGGUAACGGCUCACCAAGGCUGUGAUGGCUAGCUGGUCUGAGAGGAUGACCAGCCACACUGGGACUGAGACACGGCCCAGACUCCUACGGGAGGCAGCAGUGGGGAAUAUUGCGCAAAUGGGCGAAAGCCUGACGCAGCGACGCCGCGUGGGUGAUGAAAGCC
rnacentral:rRNA from 1 species